rnacentral:rRNA from 1 species
AUUGAACGCUAGCGGGAUGCCUUACACAUGCAAGUCGAACGGCAGCGCGGACUUCGGUCUGGCGGCGAGUGGCGAACGGGUGAGUAAUGUAUCGGAACGUGCCCAGUAGCGGGGGAUAACUACGCGAAAGCGUAGCUAAUACCGCAUACGCCCUAAGGGGGAAAGCGGGGGAUCGUAAGACCUCGCACUAUUGGAGCGGCCGAUAUCGGAUUAGCUAGUUGGUGGGGUAACGGCUCACCAAGGCGACGAUCCGUAGCUGGUUUGAGAGGACGACCAGCCACACUGGGACUGAGACACGGCCCAGACUCCUACGGGAGGCAGCAGUGGGGAAUUUUGGACAAUGGGGGCAACCCUGAUCCAGCCAUCCCGCGUGUGCGAUGAAGGCCUUCGGGUUGUAAAGCACUUUUGGCAGGAAAGAAACGGCGCCGGCUAAUACCUGGCGUAACUGACGGUACCUGCAGAAUAAGCACCGGCUAACUACGUGCCAGCAGCCGCAGUAACAC